CUUCCGUAGGUGAACCUGCGGAAGGAUCAUUAUUGUUAAUCGUUCCAGCGCUUAAUUGCGCGGAACAACCUUCUACACAUUGUUUUCUGUCGGCUUGUCCGAUUUUUACUAAACACAAUAACUAUACUAUUCAAAACAAAACAAAAAAAUCAAAACUUUCAGCAACGGAUCUCUUGGUUCUCGCAUCGAUGAAGAACGCAGCGAAUUGCGAUAAGUAAUGUGAAUUGCAGAUUUUCGUGAAUCAUCGAAUCUUUGAACGCAUAUUGCACUCUAUAGUAUUCUGUAGAGUAUGCUUGUUUGAGCGUCAUUUCAUUCUUAAACUUUCAGUUUAGUUAUGAGGGCCGUCUGCUUGCAGACGCUCUUGAAAUGAAUUGGCACAGACUACACUACGCUUAUGGUGUACGAAAUUUAUUAUCUUAGGUUUUUCCAGUUUAGUAAAUUACCGUAUACUUGUGUUUUGUGGAACGGGCCGUUAGAACACCUCUAAUUUUGACCUCAAAUCAAGUAAGGAUACCCGCUGAACUUAAGCAUAUCAAUAAGCGGAGGAAA
rnacentral:misc_RNA from 1 species